AUGUGAAAUCACAGACUAUCCACCAGAACCCCGCCGCCGUCUCCAAAUUUCCCGGAGAGGGAGUGAAACUGGAGUGCAAUGUGGAGGGCAGCAGCAGUAGCAAUCCCUACUUGUACUGGUACAGCCAGGCCCCGAGAAAAGAGCUACAGCUAAUGUUUUACUCCAAUACAGCACAGUACGUGAAUCCACAGGAGCCGGUGGACGGUUUCACCGCUGACAGACCGGAUAACACCAAGUUCAGCCUGAUGUCCUUCAACCUCCAGGCAAAUCACUCAGCCGUGUAUUACUGCGCCUGGAGUCUUCACAGUGACUCAGCGAGAGGGAGCAGCUCAACAAAAACCCCAAACGGUGACAGGAAGCAAAUGUCAACGUCAAAACCUAACGAUAUUUUCCUGGUUUUGUAA